rnacentral:rRNA from 1 species
CAGCAGCCGCGGUAAAACGGAGGGGGCUAGCGUUGUUCGGAAUUACUGGGCGUAAAGCGCACGUAGGCGGCUUGGUAAGUUAGAGGUGAAAGCCCGGAGCUCAACUCCGGAAUUGCCUUUAAGACUGCCGAGCUAGUAGGUGAGAGAGGUAAGUGGAAUUCCGAGUGUAGAGGUGAAAUUCGUAGAUAUUCGGAAGAACACCAGUGGCGAAGGCGGCUUACUGGCUCAUUCUAGACGCUGAGGUGCGAAAGCGUGGGGAGCAAACAGGAUUAGAUACCCCGGUAGUCCCUGUCUCUUAUAA